UACGGGGGGAGCAAGGCGUUGUUCGGAUUUACUGGGCGUAAAGGGCGCGUAGGCGGUCGUGAUAAGUCACUUGUGAAAUCUCCGGGCUUAACUCGGAACGGUCAAGUGAUACUGUCGGACUAGAGUACAGAAGGGGCAACUGGAAUUCUCGGGUGUAGCGGUGAAAUGCGUAGAGUAUCGAAGAGGAACACCUGCGGCGA
rnacentral:rRNA from 1 species